GCAUAUCAAUAAGCGGAAGGAAAAGAAACCCAACAGGGAUUGCCUUAGUAACGGCGAGUGAAGCGGCAACAGCUCAAAUUUGAAAUCUGGCUCUUUUAGAGUCCGAGUUGUAAUUUGCAGAGGGCGCUUUGGCGUUGGCAGCGGUCCAAGUUCCUUGGAACAGGACGUCACAGAGGGUGAGAAUCCCGUACGUGGUCGCUAGCCAUCGCCGUGUAAAGCCCCUUCGACGAGUCGAGUUGUUUGGGAAUGCAGCUCUAAAUGGGAGGUAAAUUUCUUCUAAAGCUAAAUACUGGCCAGAGACCGAUAGCGCACAAGUAGAGUGAUCGAAAGAUGAAAAGCACUUUGGAAAGAGAGUCAAAUAGCACGUGAAAUUGUUGAAAGGGAAGCGCUUGCAGCCAGACUUGCCUGUAGUUGCUCAUCCGGGCUUUUGCCCGGUGCACUCUUCUGCGGGCAGGCCAGCAUCAGUUUGGGCGGUUGGAUAAAGGUCUCUGUCAUGUACCUCUCUUCGGGGAGAACUUAUAGGGGAGACGACAUACAACCAGCCUGGACUGAGGUCCGCGCAUUUGCUAGGAUGCUGGCGUAAUGGCUGUAAGCGGCCCGUCUUGAAACACGGACCAAGGAGUCUAACAUCUAUGCGAGUGUUUGGGUGUCAAGCCCGAGCGCGUAAUGAAAGUGAACGGAGGUGGGACCCCUUUUAGGGUGCACCAUCGACCGAUCCUGAUGUCUUCGGAUGGAUUUGAGUAAGAGCAUGGCUGUUGGGACCCGAAAGAUGGUGAACUAUGCUUGAAUAGGGUGAAGCCAGAGGAAACUCUGGUGGAGGCUCGCAGCGGUUCUGACGUGCAAAUCGAUCGUCAAAUUUGGGCAUAGGGGGCGAAAGACUAAUCGAACUAUCUAGUAGCUGGUUCCUGCCGAAG
rnacentral:rRNA from 1 species